GAGGAUACCCGACAUUUUGGAAGCCCGGAAAGCUGGAUACCCGGUUAGUCGAGUACCAUUUUAUCAGCUCAUUUCACGACCCAACUUAUUUGAGUACCUGAAAUCCGGUUAAUAAAUCUAUGCAAUCCAAUUGAUUUAAUUUCAAAAAAUAUUACAUCCUGAAAGAUGGGAAGCAAUGAAAACCUGAUAUUUUUCUUCAUUGAUCUAAGAACAACAAAACACAAAAUGAAAAGCGCAAAUGCAAAACACGAACAAUGAAAAAUGCAGACUGAAAAAUCAAAACAUAAAUCAAGAACGUAAGUAAGAAUGAAAAAUGCGGAGGAAGCAUGGGACUUGAGUAGUCCGUUAUGGGAUUAUUUUGAUGAUGUGGAUUUGUGGUCAGUGGACAUUCGGUUUGAUGAGAGAUUGGUUUGGGUGGAGUGUUUUGGUACAACCAGUUGUAACAUUCGGGAAAAUUAAUAUUUUAAGACGAGUAAGUUUAAGAGAAUUAUCAGUGCGAGAAUGAUCCUAAAUACCAUGACAUGAAACAUCCCCAAUUUAAUUUCUUCCCUUUUUUCCUUUUCUUUUAUUUUUAUUAAAAUACCUAAACCCUAAUUUCAUUUUAACAAAACUGAAAUCAAAAUUUGCUCUUGUUCCAUUUAAGCCAUUCGAAAUCCCUUGCCUUCUAUCCCUCUGAAUUUCACAGUCUUCUUCCUCAGAAUAACUCUGAGAAUUCGAGUAUAGAACAAUGGCUUUUCGUGCUUUCUUUCCUUGCCAUUUUGACAUGAAACUUUCAAAAACUAUCAACAAUGGUGACUUGUUCUAAUUGCUUUCGCCUUCGCCUGAUUCUUUCAAGAACACAAGCACUGCUAUUUCUGGAACCUGGCUUUGAAUCCUUCGAAGGAGGCGACGUCAUCGAGGAACCUUUCUAGCUGAUAGCUGCGAAUCGAACCUGACUCUUUGAAGCGUCGUCUUUGUUUGAUUACAGAUCGGAACCAGUCGGGAGUAAUGGAUUAGCAGAGGUGAAUAGAGUUUCCAAGGAUGUAAAUUGAGCUGAGUACUUAGGAAUUAUAGAUUUGUAUUAGGAAUUUUGGAUAAAUGUAAAUUUUUUUUGGCUGUGCUGGUUAUAUCGGACUUGUAGAGAAUUGUAUGAUUAUCUUGUGUAUUAGUUAAUUGUAUGCUACUUUAAAUAGUUAAUUAUAAGUAUUUAAGUAGAUUAAUUUUAA